rnacentral:rRNA from 1 species
CCUACGGGAGACAGCAGUGAGGAAUAUUGGUCAAUGGGCGGGAGCCUGAACCAGCCAAGUCGCGUGAGGGAAGACGGUCCUAUGGAUUGUAAACCUCUUUUGGCGGGGAGCAAAGCCGGGCACGCGUGCCCGGAGGGAGAGUACCCGCAGAAUAAGCAUCGCCUAACUCCGUGCCAGCAGCCGCGGUAAUACGGAGGAGGCGAGCGUUAUCCGGAUUUAUUGGGUGUAAAGGGUGCGUAGGCGGAUUUUUAAGGAAGCGGUAAAAUGUCGGGGCUCAACCCGGGCCGGCCGUUGAAACGGGGGGUCUGGAGUGGGCGAGAGGUAUGCGGAAUGCGUGGUGUAGCGGUGAAAUGCAUAGAUAUCACGCAGAACUCCGAUUGCGAAGGCAGCAUACCGGCGCCCGACUGACGCUGAGGCACGAAAGCGUGGGGAUCGAACAGGAUUAGAUACCCGAGUAGUC